CCCUGUUCAACUGUGUCACUGUGAAGUUAAAAGAAAGGAUGGCAGAAAAUAUUUAGCAAAAUAAAAAAGGAGAAAAAUGACAUUACUCAUUCCAUGGGAGUAGCCCACUCCCUCCCCGCAUUCUUUUUACUUUUGCAUGUGAUCAUACAGUGUUUAUUGCAUUUCCAGAACUCAAACAGAGCAGAUCAUUUACUCCAGCAGUUUGGCAGCUUUUCCAGAUGCCUUUCACCACAAGGCACAGCCUGGAGAAAUUAUUAUUAGGGUUACAUGUCAUGCAGAGAAGAAGACUUGGCACUCGCCCCACAAGCAGCUGUUGCACAAUGAAAUUACAUUUGACCAUUUUUUUGUGACCUGAAAAAUCAAUCUAGCUAGUUCCGUAUUAUGGCUAUGCUAGCCAUGUGUGGUUCUACAUUUUCAAGCAAAAGAACAGACGAUCAGUUAGUCAAGUUUUGUUUUGUGACUUGACAGAACUUCUGAUCUCAUAAAAAUAUAUUAUAUCUAAUACUUUUUUUGAUCUAUCUGCAUGCA